UACGUAGGGCGCAAGCGUUGUCCGGAAUUAUUGGGCGUAAAGAGCUCGUAGGCGGCCUGUCGCGUCCGCUGUGAAAUCCCGGGGCUUAACCCCGGGCGUGCAGUGGAUACGGGCUGGCUGGAGGCAGGCAGGGGAGAACGGAAUUCCCAGUGUAGAGGUGAAAUUCGUAGAUAUUGGGAAGAACACCGGUGGCGAAGGCGGCGCUCUGGACCGAGACUGACGCUGAGGAGCGAAAGCGUGGGGAGCGAACAGG
rnacentral:rRNA from 1 species